UACAGAGGGUGCGAGCGUUAAUCGGAAUUACUGGGCGUAAAGCGCGCGUAGGCGGCUUUGCAAGUCGGGUGUGAAAUCCCCAGGCUCAACCUGGGAACUGCAUUCGAGACUGCAUUGCUAGAGUAUGGGAGAGGGAAGUGGAAUUUCCGGUGUAGCGGUGAAAUGCGUAGAUAUCGGAAGGAACAUCAGUGGCGAAAGCGACUUCCUGGACCAAUACUGACGCUCAUGUGCGAAAGCGUGGGGAACAAACAGG
rnacentral:rRNA from 1 species